rnacentral:rRNA from 1 species
AUACGGAGGGUGCAAGCGUUAUCCGGAUUUAUUAGGUUUAAAGGGUCCGUAGGCGGAAAAUUAAGUCAGUGGUGAAAGCCCAUAGCUCAACUAUGGAACUGCCAUUGAUACUGAUUUUCUUGAAUAUGAUUGAGGUGGGCGGAAUAUGUCAUGUAGCGGUGAAAUGCUUAGAUAUGACAUAGAACACCGAUAGCGAAGGCAGCUCACUAAGCCAUCAUUGACGCUGAGGGACGAAAGCGUGGGGAGCGAACAGGAUUAGAAACCCUAGUAGUCC